CCUACGGGGUGCUGCAGUGGGGGAUAUUGCACAAUGGGGGAAACCCUGAUGCAGCGACGCCGCGUGUGGGAAGACGUUCCUCUGGAUUGUAAACCACUGUCCCCAGGGACGAAGAUGACGGUACCUGGGGAGGAAGCUCCGUCUAACUACGUGCCAGAAGCCGCGGUAAUACGUAGGGAGUGAGCGUUGUCCGGAAUUACUGGGUGAAAAGGGAGCGUAGGCGGGGAUGCAAGUUGUAUGUCAAGACUACCGGCUCAACUGGUAGUCGCACUCAAAACUGCAGGUCUUGAGUGAAGUAGAGGCAGGCGGAAUUCCUAGUGUAGCGGUGAAAUGCGUAGAUAUUAGGAGGAACACCAGUGGCGAAGGCGGCCUGCUGGGCUUUUACUGACGCUGAGGCUCGAAAGUGUGAGGAGCAAACAGGAUUAGAUACCCCUGUAGUC
rnacentral:rRNA from 1 species